rnacentral:lncRNA from 1 species
GAUGGUCUUCCUCUGAGGAGCGUCAACUGGCGUGUCGCUUGUCAUUAAAGCAGCAAAAGGCUACAGUCACAGAGCCUCCGUGUGGCAAAAGUUAGGAAAUAUCUAACCAAUACAAGGUGGAAUUAAAAUUACGGAAUAAAAAGUUAAAGGAGAAGGAUAGACUACAACGACCAAGAGCCAACAGGAUGUAGGUGGGCGGAGCCGGGAGCGUCAUCAGCCAAAUUGGACAACCAGGCCCGGGUGUGUCCCAGGAUAAAUGCACCUCUUCACCAUUCAUUGAGGAGACUCUCUCCAUGCAGACACAGAUUUUGGUGGACUUCUCCUGUGGGAACAGCACAAAGCCCAGAGCGGACAUGGCCUUCCACUUCAACC